UCAAUGCUAUGGGAAAGACUCUACCAUUUUGUUUCUCUAUUUUUCUUAGAUCAUGACACACAACAUUAUUCUUAAUAAUUUCUCAUUUCUCUUUCUCUCUUUGAAUGAAAUGAUGGUUGAGACACAUACCAAAUUUCACUUAUUCCUCUUCGUGAAGUUGACAAGAAAACAUGAGCAGAGGAAGGACUAGAAGCGAGCAAAAAAGAGGAGAUUUGUGGAGAAAUUUCAAAAUUGAGGUCAACAAAGGUCAGUUUGAUACCUGAUAAUUUCGUUCUCCUUCUACAAUCAAACGAUUUGAUCAUUUUUUUGGUUUUGGGGCUUUAGGAUUUUCGUUACUUUGUAGGCUCUGAUGUGGAUGAUUUGUUUUUUUAUGGGGGUACAUGUUCUGUAAUUUCUAUUUUCUUUUUACGGCUUUAGCUUCUUUUUCUAGUAAUCUCUCCUCAGUAUAAAGAAAAAACGUGAACAGGGGGUGUUAGGAGAAAAUAAAAAAAACUAUUGUGUUUUAAGGGUUUUCAUAUUUGCAUUGUUUGUUUUAGCUUGAGGUUUAAUGUUUUCUUUUUGGUGUUUUAAUGUUUAUUUUUUUUUAGAUUUUGCAUUUUUUUAUCCUCACUUUGAGUAUAUCAAUUGUUAGGCUUUUAGAUGCUGACAAUUAUAUUUAAUCUACGAUUUCAAUGAGUAGGUAGUGUCUAGAUUAAUCUAUGGUGUUUAAUUAUAUUAACUAAAAACAGCUAAGUGCCUGACCCUAUUUAUUGUGAUCAGGAUUUUCUUUCAAUGAGUUGUCUGUGGUGCUUAAUUAUAUUAACUCUUUGAUUACUAACCAAGCAUAUAAACCGUAGCUCCAAUAUCAAUCUUUGAUUUUGAAAGAUAUUGCAUAUAGUGGCAAGUGUGAUAGUGCAAACAUACUACAUAUGUUACCAAGUAAAAACAAAAUUGAAGUUACUUUAGCUCUUUUAUCAAUCAAUGAUUGGAAGGUAUUUCUUUUUUAUUAUUUCUAUAUGACAUAAAAGUCAUUGAUUCUUACUCAAUUUUAACAUUAUAAGUUCAAUUGUUAGGGAGAAAAAGUUCCUCCAAUUUGGUAUUGUAUUUGAGUGCAUGUAUAUAGUGGAUCAAUCAUGAUGUGUGUUUAUGGGUUAUCUAUUCAAAGAUGUGACUACAACAUUUAGUGUUUCUUAUUUGCAAUAUUCUAAACCUUCUCUAAUAAACUCUAUUGCCUCAAGCCUUAACCUCUUGGAAUUGGCAAAGGUGUACAUUUGAUAUUUUGCUUCCUUCUUAGCAUAAAAGUCUAAAUAGAUUCUAUGCCAACAUUUCACCGAUCCAAGGACCUGUAAUUAACUAAGGACUACUUUGAGAGCAAAAUUGACAGUAAUUCAAUGCUCAAGGUAGAAGAUAGUUUUAGAAGAUAACCCAAUUGACAAGAUAGAUAAAAUUGAAAGCCAGGUCUUUGAUGCGAUUACACCUGGAUUUCUAAAUGCUUUGACAAGAUUUGGUCUCCUAAAUCAUAAAAUCAAACUCAAAAUUGAAACCUCAGUCAUGUUAUUAAAAAAUUUAGACCAAGUUGAAGGAGAUUAAUUGUUACAAGGCUUGCAAAUCGUGUCAUUGAAGCAAAAGUCAUGUAUGAAAAAAAAUGAAUUUUUUUUAUAUUUCGCGUAUAUGUAUGUCUCCGUCCGAAUCACCUUGGCCAUUCAAAUUGAUUAGGAGACAAUUUCCUAUCAUAGUCUUAUUGUCAUGACAAUCAACAAAGCUCAAGGUCAAUCACUUGAAAAUGUUGAAUUAUACUUACUUAGGUCAAUCACUUGAAAAUGUUGAAUUAUACUUACUUAGACCUGUCUUUAAUCACCAUCAAUCAAAUGUAUGUUGCUAUUUCUAGAGUUAAAAGCAAACAAGGAUUAAAGAUUUUGAUACAUGAUAAUAAUAAUGAGAAAAAAUCAUUAAACACUACUACUAAUGUUGUUUUCAAAGAGGUCUUUGACAACCUUUAAUUAGGUAGUGUCAAUUUAAUUUAAUUUACAAGUAGUUCUUUAAAAUUUCUUUUCCAUAUUACAGGCAUCAAGACAAC
rnacentral:lncRNA from 1 species